AUCCUGGCUCAGAACGAACGCUGGCGGCAGGCCUAACACAUGCAAGUCGAGCGAACCCUCGGGGUUAGCGGCGGACGGGUUAGUAACGCGUGGGAAUAUACCCUUUGGUACGGAAUAGCCUCGGGAAACUGAGAGUAAUACCGUAUGUGCCCUUCGGGGGAAAGAUUUAUCGCCAAAGGAUUAGCCCGCGUUGGAUUAGAUAGUUGGUGGGGUAAUGGCCUACCAAGUCUACGAUCCAUAGCUGGUUUGAGAGGAUGAUCAGCAACACUGGGACUGAGACACGGCCCAGACUCCUACGGGAGGCAGCAGUGGGGAAUCUUAGACAAUGGGCGCAAGCCUGAUCUAGCCAUGCCGCGUGGACGACGAAGGCCUUAGGGUUGUAAAGUCCUUUCAGAUGGGGAGAUAAUGACGGUACCAUCAGAAGAAGCCCCGGCUAACUCCGUG
rnacentral:rRNA from 1 species